rnacentral:SRP_RNA from 1 species
UCCGCGCAGUGGCACAUGCCUGUAGUCCCAGCUACUCAGGAGGCUGAGGCUGGAGGAUCACUUGAGUCCAGGAGUUCUAGGCUGUAGUGCACUAUGCUGAUUGGGUGUCCAAACUAAGUUCAGCAUCAGUAUGGUGACUUCCCGGGAGCAGGGGACCACCAGAUUGCCUAUGGAGGAGUGAACCAGCCCAGGUUGGAAACAGAGCAGGUCAAAACUCCCGUGCUGAUCAGUAGUGGGAUUGCACCUGUGAAUAGCCACUGCACUCCAACCUAGGCAACAUAGCGAGACCCCAUCUCU